rnacentral:rRNA from 1 species
AUUGAACGCUGGCGGCAUGCCUUACACAUGCAAGUCGAACGGCAGCACGGGAGCAAUCCUGGUGGCGAGUGGCGAACGGGUGAGUAAUAUAUCGGAACGUGCCCGUUCGUGGGGAUAACGUAGCGAAAGCUACGCUAAUACCGCAUACGAUCUACGGAUGAAAGCGGGGGGAUCGCAAGACCUCGCGCGAUUGGAGCGGCCGAUAUCAGAUUAGGUAGUUGGUGAGGUAAAGGCUCACCAAGCCGACGAUCUGUAGCUGGUCUGAGAGGACGACCAGCCACACUGGGACUGAGACACGGCCCAGACUCCUACGGGAGGCAGCAGUGGGGAAUUUUGGACAAUGGGCGCAAGCCUGAUCCAGCAAUGCCGCGUGCAGGAUGAAGGCCUUCGGUUGUAACUGCUUUGUUACGGAACGAACGGUAGAGCUCUAAUACAGUUUGCGUAAUAGACGGUACCGUAAGAAUAAGCACCGG